CCUACGGGUUGCACCAGUGGGGAAUAUUGGACAAUGGGCGAAAGCCUGAUCCAGCAAUGCCGCGUGUGUGAAGAAGGUCUUCGGAUUGUAAAGCACUUUCGACGGGGUCGAUGAUGACGGUACCCGUAGAAGAAGCCCCGGCUAACUUAGUGCCAGCAGCCGCGGUAAUACGAAGGGGGCUAGCGUUGCUCGGAAUGACUGGGCGUAAAGGGCGCGUAGGCGGUUCAUGCAGUCAGAUGUGAAAUCCCCGGGCUUGACCUGGGAACUGCAUUUGAGACGCAUAGACUAGAGGUCGAGAGAGGGUUGUGGAAUUCCCAGUGUAGAGGUGAAAUUCGUAGAUAUUGGGAAGAACACCGGUGGCGAAGGCGGCAACCUGGCUCGAUACUGACGCUGAGGCGCGAAAGCGUGGGGAGCAAACAGGAUUAGAUACCCUUGUAGUC
rnacentral:rRNA from 1 species